rnacentral:rRNA from 1 species
UACGUAGGUGGCAAGCGUUAUCCGGAUUUAUUGGGUGUAAAGGGCGUGUGGGCGGGAAUGCAAGUCAGAUGUGAAAACUAUGGGCUCAACCCAUAGCCUGCAUUUGAAACUGUAUUUCUUGAGUGCUGGAGAGGCAAUCGGAAUUCCGUGUGUAGCGGUGAAAUGCGUAGAUAUACGGAGGAACACCAGUGGCGAAGGCGGAUUGCUGGACAGUAACUGACGCUGAGGCGCGAAAGCGUGGGGAGCAAACAGG